rnacentral:misc_RNA from 1 species
GAUGAAGAACGUAGCGAAAUGCGAUACGUAAUGUGAAUUGCAGAAUUCAGUGAAUCAUCGAAUCUUUGAACGCAUAUUGCGCUCUCUGGUAUUCCGGAGAGCAUGCUUGUUUGAGUAUCAGUAAACACCUCAACUUCCAUAUCUUUUUUGAAAUGGGAGUUGGACUUGAGUGAUCCCAACGCUUUUCCUCACCGAAAAGUGGCGGGUUACUUGAAAUGCAGGUGCAGCUGGACUUUUCUCUGAGCUAUAAGCAUAUCUAUUUAGUCUGCCUAAAAACAGAUUAUUACCUUUGCUGCAGCUAACAUAAAGGAGAUUAGUUCUUGUGCUGACUGAUGCAGGAUUCACAAAGUCAGGCUUCGGCCGACUUUGUAAACUCGAUCUCAAAUCAAGUAAGACUACCCGCUGAACUUAAGCAUAUCAAUAAGCGGAGGA